UACGAAGGGUGCAAGCGUUACUCGGAAUUACUGGGCGUAAAGCGUGCGUAGGUGGUGAGUUAUGUCUGAUGUGAAAUCCCCGGGCUCAACCUGGGAAUGGCAUUGGAUACUGGCUCGCUAGAGUGCGGUAGAGGGUGGUGGAAUUCCCGGUGUAGCGGUGAAAUGCGCAGAUAUCAGGAAGAACACCCGUGGCUAAGGCGGCUCUCUAGUACGGUACUGACGCUGAGACGCGAAAGCGUGGGGAGCGAACAGG
rnacentral:rRNA from 1 species